AGGAGCUUUUCUUCUUCGGGCAAAGCUUGAGGAUCUGUUGGAGGGAGAGAACCAUCAUUGGUGCUGGGGAACAGUGAGGCAGGAAUGAUGCAAACUGCUCAAAGCAAAAAAGCUCUGCUCCCUGGUCUGAGCUGUACUAUCCUGAGUGAUGCAGGUGAGGACCUGCUGAGAAAUGGAAAGGCAUUGAGAUGUCCUGCUCCCGUACCUACAUCCUUGCAAAUGUAUCCCAAACAACAUUUCCAACAUUUCCCAAGGCUGCUGGAGCUGCUGGCCUGGGCAUUGGCCUGCAGCAGUGGGGCUGCAGGGCUCCUGCUCUUACCUGAAAGCCUCGAUGAGCCGCUCCACCUUCUGCGCCUCCCCCUGCACACGGAUGUGGGCCUGGAAUUU